AGUCCUCACCUCCAGCACCAUGGUCUGCUUUUGUCUGAUGUUAAAUUUCUUUGGUCCAGCUAAGAGUUUGUCAAUUUUGUGGAUCUUUUCAUGAAACCAACCCCUAGAAUAUGGAAAU